rnacentral:tRNA from 1 species
GGGUAUAGUUCAGUUGGUAGAACGACGGUCUCCAAAACCGUAUGUCGAGGGUUCAAGUCCUUCUGCCC